rnacentral:misc_RNA from 1 species
GUGAGGUUGUACUCGUGCAUUGAUUCUGGCCUGCAAACUGGUUCCGCGAUUGCAAUAAGGAAAUCAUAUGCCUGUUUGUACAAUGGUGAGAAAGUUUCGAGGAAUAUCCGACCAUCAGCACAAGCCCAUAAGGGCCGAUUAGCAUGGUCAGGUUUCAACUCCAAUUUGCUGAAAUCUCUCUUGCCUCCUUCUUUAUCACCAUUGCGAUCAUCGUCGUCAAGAUCGUCAAGAUGGUAGACAUCAUCUUCUUCAAAAGCUUUCUUGUAAUCCUCCUUGCCGAAUUUAGGUUUUUUGCUGGGUCUUCCUUUGUCACCGUGUCCCAUAGCUUGGAAAAUGAGAUGCA